rnacentral:rRNA from 1 species
UACGUAGGGCGCAAGCGUUAUCCGGAAUUAUUGGGCGUAAAGAGCUCGUAGGCGGCUUGUCGCGUCGAAUGUGAAAUCUCGGGGCUCAACUCCGAGCUUGCAUUCGAUACGGGCAGGCUAGAGUUCGGUAGGGGAGACUGGAAUUCCUGGUGUAGCGGUGAAAUGCGCAGAUAUCGGGAGGAACACCAGUGGCGAAGGCGGCUUCCUGGCCUGUUCUUGACGCUGAGGCGCGAAAGCUAGGGGAGCAAACGGGG